UACGAAGGGGGCUAGCGUUGCUCGGAAUCACUGGGCGUAAAGGGUGCGUAGGCGGGUCUUUAAGUCAGGGGUGAAAUCCUGGAGCUCAACUCCAGAACUGCCUUUGAUACUGAGGAUCUUGAGUUCGGGAGAGGUGAGUGGAACUGCGAGUGUAGAGGUGAAAUUCGUAGAUAUUCGCAAGAACACCGGUGGCGAAGGCGGCUCACUGGCUCGUAUCUGACGCUCAGGCGCGACAGCGUGGGGAUCAAACAGG
rnacentral:rRNA from 1 species